AACUUUGUAUUCCGUAUGCUGAUUUUUCUGACACUGUUUGAUCUCCUCUUGGUCUGUAGCUAUGGGUCGAUAAAGUGUGGUCUUAGGCAGCUUCAGUCAUCGUUGUUGAAGGAAAGCAAAAGGUCAAAAGUGGGAGUGCACACGGCCUCUCCAGGCAUGGUCCUGACAGAACUUGAAUACCCUGUUGUGCCCUUCUCUCGGAUUAAUUGAGAAGCUCAUACAUUUAAACUAUUUCGACAACAGUAUUUGCUUCAUUUAUUCAUCAUGCGUGCAUUGAUUUUGUGUGCUCAUCAUAUUGAUGCAUCAGUCUGAGUCAAUCAAACUAAAUAUGUGGUGUUCUUUGUUAUUAUGGGAAAAUGGUUUGGUUUUUAUUGCUAAAUAUGGAAAUAACAAGAGAAGCCUUGUUGGUGGUAUAUCUGCAGCGGCUCAACUAUCCAAAACAAGCAAAUGUUUAACAUCUUCCUGAGACAGUGGCAAGAACUUUAAUCCCACGGAUGCGGGUUGUAAAGGGAAGUAGUGGAAAGGCCAUUAAUUACUUGACCCCUCCUAGGAUUUUACUCGCCUUGAUCACUACAUGGCUGCGACGAGGUCGUUGGUUUGAUGACCAGGUAUUCUUUUUUACUUCAGCCAAUUUAUUAUACACUUCACCACACUUGUUUAGGCUAUGAUUUAUACAAGAAAGCAGAUCUUUUGUUGUUUUUUUUUGCUAAAUACAAAGCAGAUCUUGAUUCCUUGCAUGGUAUCUUUCAGGAGCAGAAGCGGAUCGGCUUCAAAACUGGGCAGAAAGUCGAACUCGAUUGUCUUUUACCGAUGCCAUACAACGAGAAUACUUGGGUUUCUGUCUUCUCCUUUCUGUAGUUUGUGCUUUCAUUAUCCUCUCUAGUCUCUAGUACAACCAGCACAUUUCCUGGAACCUAAACUACUUUAUAGUCCAAUUUACAACUAGAAAGCAAUCAAGAAAUACAAAGCUACUACGGAUACAACUGAUGCAUGAUUUUUUUUUGUCUGCAUCUUUCGGAGGCUUCCUUCAAAUAGAUACACGCACGACCUCAGGUAAUGAUUAUGGAGAGCUUUGGAUGGGCUCUUUGUGUGUGUAAAUAAAAGUAACAGGACUUGUAUUGGAUGGGCUCUUUGUGUUGUGUAAAUAAAAGUAACAGGACUUGUAAUUUCUGCUAUUCUUUAUCAAUGAAUUGAUGCAUUCUCUAUUGAGAUGUUUGUGUACCAUGUAAUAGUUUAUGCGUGGGUAAUGAAAUCUCAUUUUUUUAAUCUAUUGUCUUUUUAUGCAUUAUUUGAUAAAUAUCCUGAAGUGUCCCUUUCCUGUUGCGGUAGCCUACUUUAAAGAGUUGAUGCGAUAACUACAAUCCUUUGAAUUCUAUUCAAACUUAUUUAGUUAUGGUUAGUUAGGCUGCGCGUGGACGCAACUCAAUUCAAUAUUGAGCCUUGUCGUGUAGCUGUGCACUUAUCACAAACUUUCUCCCACUCCCACUCCCACUCCCACUGUAGUGUAGAAUGAUUCAGCUUGAAUACUUCAACCCAUUCUCCAAACUCACCCAUAAUGAUCGAUAAAAGAUGGGCGCUAGAUGUGCAAAGAGUUGGUUCAGCUACAAGAAUUUCCCAAGUCAAAUCUUAAGAUUCCAAGCUCUCCAUCUUGACACAAGACAUAAAGAUUUUGGCCAUGGAAUAUUGGGCUAUUAUGUGAUGAUAGGUUGUAUGGGAUAUCAUGAUGGAUAUUAAUUGCUAACCAUAUGGAUUACCCGGGAGAAGUGAGGACAACCGUUUCAUUAUAAUCUGGUCUAAACGCAGUAACCAUACAAGAAGGGGAAGUAGGCGGUUCAGAGAAAAGUAAAGUUAGAAAAAGAUUUUAAAAAAUACAGCUCCAACUCUGGAAGCUGGACAGUGGCCUUUGUGAAUGGAUUGAAGAAGAAUGGGGGUUUAACAUCACCUUUAAAUAUCAAUAACCAACCUAUUUGGGGCGCGUAUUACAACAUGCCCAUUCAAUUCAAAAAAUGUGGCCAUCAAGUAUUUAUCACCAAACUUUGGAUCAGUAAUCAACGGAAAUUCCGGUAAUCAACAAUCAAAUCUAGAAUAUGGAGCGGAAUAUUAUGUAGUAGUUUUCCUUGAUCAGUUGUGGCUAACUUCUCUCCCGGUUGCUCAUUCAUCAUCCUGUCAACCUCACUGCUAAUUAUUAGAGCAUAUGGUCCUACACAAUCUUCUGAUAUACAAACUUCAGUUGCUGUUGCACAGACUCAAAGAAAUAAACAAGUUGAUGAUUGCAAUCCAAGCUCAACACAAGAAAUGAAGCAUAAGCUACUACAAUGUUUAGCCCAUGUUACACGUGGAGAUAUAACACAGCUGUCAUAGUAUAAUAGUAGGGAUAGUACAGCUGUCCUUGUGAUAGUACAGAUAGUACAGAUGUUAGUUUAGUUUUUUAUCAGUUUUGUUUUCCCUUCAUAUAUAUACAAUAUGUAUAGAUAGAAUACUAAAUACAAGAAGAUAUUCUGGCGAGCUUCCCUUUCUAAGGAAUGUAAUGAACAACAUUUUUCAAUAUAAUUUUCGGGUUACAAAUCUUAUCAUGGGCUAAUAUCUAUCUUGCUUCAUUUCAUCUUUCGAUUCUUAUCAAUUAACUCUUCAGAUCAAUUGUUUUUUGUAUAUUGAUCUCUAUUUUGCGUUUUCAUUUAGUUCAACUGAUCUCUUCCAUCAAUUAGGUCUUCUUUGAUCAAUCAGAUUUUUUUCUCUCUUUGACCAAUUAAUCUUUGUUCCUCUGUUUGUGCGGAUUUAUACGCAAAUAAUCAAUGGUGAAUCCUAAUAUCAAUUCUCAACCGAAUGAUUGGGGUCGUGGUGCAGGAUCCAAUAAUGGAUCUGGACUUGAUCCUGGAAAUGAAGUUGGAUCUUCUUCUAACAACGGACCUUGAUCUUCUACUGGAAUUGGUAAUUCUUCUGGUAUUAAUAUCACUCUACCACCUGCCGCACAUGAUACUGUUAAUAAUCUCGAACAGAUAACAGUUUCCAUGGAUUCUAAUACGCAUCCUUUGUAUUUGCACAAUAAUGACCCACCUGGAAUGCAACUAAUUUCUAAAAAAUUAACUGGUUCGGACAACUACAAUCCUUGGCAACGAUCCAUGUCUAUUGCAUUAUCUGCUAAGAAUAAAAUGGGCAUUGUGAAUGGUUUUUAUGAAAUACCUACUCCUGCUUCUCCUAUAUUUGCACAAUGGGAAAGAGUUAAUGACAUGGUAACUUCUUGGAUCCUCAAUUGUGUUUUUGAAGAAAUCAGUAAUAGCAUGAAUUUUAUACACACUGCUACCUCAGUUUGGAAAGAGCUUAAAAAUCGUUUUUCUACUGUUGAUGGUCAUAGAAUUUAUCAAUUGUUAAGAGAUUUGUAUACCUUGGAGCAAGGUACUGCUUCUGUUGAUUUUUACUAUCACAAGAUGAAAGGCAUUUGGAAUGAAUAUUUGGCUUCAGAGACUCCUCCUUUGUGUACUUGUGGAGCCUCUCGGAUUCUAGAUGAACAAGAUUAGAGAAGGAAGCUUACUCAAUUUCUUAUGGGAUUAGAAGAAAGUUAUGCCAAUGCUAGGGGGCAAAUUUUAAUGAUGCAGCCUUUACCUAAUGUAGCCCAAGCAUUUGCUCUUAUCAGGUAAGAUGAACGCCAACGACAAGGAUACAUUCCUGGUCCUAACAGUAGUACUGCCAUGCAUGAUCAUUCUGCCAAUUUAGGCAAACAAAAACUGUCAUAUGGAUCUCGUCAUGACAUGUUUCUUAAUACUUUUUCAAGUUCUACUAAUAUGGAUACUAAUCCUGGAGCCUACUAUCCUAGUUCCAUACAAGUUGCCACUUCAAGAAAUUAUGAACAGUCCCAUUUUCACAAAAAUGUUAAGGAUGGUUGGUGCACUUAUUGUCACAAAGAUGGUCAUAUAAGAGAGGACUGCUAUAAGCUGAAUGGAUAUCCACCUGGUCAUCCAGCUGCCAAGUGGAGCAAACAAAAAUAUCCUUCUGGUACUAAUACAUCCAAAUUUCAGGGUUCCAACUAUUUUUCCACUAAGAAGAUUCCUACUCUGUCUAGUUACAAGACACAGUCCCAAUCUAGUUCUAAUACAGGCAAGGCAAUGCAAGUUUCGACUGUCACAGAUGAUGAUUUUGGACCAGACCCUAUACAACAUCUUCAAGCCCAAAUGGAUCAGUUGCUUUCCAUGUUUGGCAAAUUCCAUGAUAGUCCUGAUGAUCAUGUGGCUGGUAUGGUAACUUCUUUUUCUUCUUUUGCUCAUUCUAAUCUCAAUGCUUGGAUUGUAGACACUGGUGCUACAGAUCAUAUGACAGGUUCUAAACAACUUUUUCACUCUCUCAUUACUCUACACACACCAAUUCUAGUUAGUCUUCCUAAUGGUAGUGUAGUUUUUGUUACACACACUGGUACUAUCCAUCUUACCACAAACAUUACUUUACAUAAGGUUCUCUAUAUUCCUUCAUUUACAUGUAAGUUGCUAUCAGUUAGCAAACUUACUUUAGAUUCCAAAUUGACAGUUUCAUUCACAAAUACUUCAUGUCUAUUACAGGACCAACACCAGAUGCACACAAUAGCAACUGGUGAUUUGUCCAAUGGGCUAUAUCUUCUUCAUUUUCCAUCACAUGCUGCUGUUCAUGUUCUUCAAUCUUCUCAUACUACUCUCUGGCAUCAUCGGCUAGGACAUGUUCCUGUUUCCAUUUUGAAUAAAAUUCCAGCUCUUACUUCUUUUAUUAAAGAAGAUGACAGUGACAGUUGUUGUGUAUGUCCUUUAGCUAAGCAGACUUGUUUACCUUUUUCUUUUAGUACCAAUUGUACUCAUGAUCUGUUUGAAUUGAUUCAUUGUGACCUCUGGGGUCCAUAUAGAACAUCUACUAGAAAUGGUUGUAAGUACUUCAUUACUGUUGUGGAUGAUUUUUCUAGAGGUUUAUGGACUUUCUUAGUCUCUACAAAGCAGCAUGUUUAUAAACUUUUGCAAGAUUUUUUUGCUUCUGUUCAAACACAAUUUAAUAAGCACAUUAAAACUUUUCGAAGUGAUAAUAGCACUGAGUUUUCUAACCAAACUUGGUGUCUUACAUCAUACUUCUUGUUCUCACACACCACAACAAAAUGGUGUAGUCGAAAGGAAAUACAAAACCCUUUUAAAUAUGUCCAGGGCUCUUAGAUUUCAAGGCAACUUACCUAAGCAUUUCUGGGGAGAUUGUAUUUUGGUAACUACUUGUUAAACAGGAUUCCUAGUUCUAUCUUAAAGUUCAAAAAUCCUUAUUAAAUACUGUUUCAUAAACCACCUACAUAUUCUCAUUUACGAACAAUAGGCUGCUUAUGUUUUGCAUCUCAACACACACCAGAUAAAUUUGAACCUAGAGCUGUUAAAUCAAUUUUCAAAGGAUAUCCUCUUACACAAAAAGGUUACAAGCUCUACAAUUUAGAAACUAAACAAGUGUUUGUUUCCAGAUAUGUUAUUUUUCAUGACUGUUUUUCCUUUUUCUACAAUUUUUUCUUCUCCUUUUUCUUCUUCUCAGCCCUAUGAUUUCAAUCACUUUAACAUUGUUUCUUCCAUUGACCCUAUUAUUUCUCCUAUUGACUGUUCUACUGAUUCCCACCAUAUUGCUCCUCAGUCUUCUCCUAUUUCUCUUUCUCCACCUCAACCGUCUCUUCUUUCUUCUCCUCAACCAAUACCACAACAAAACGUCCAGAACUUCUCACUAGACUUUCCACCCGAACUUCCACUAGCACUUACACUUGAAUUUCCACCACCAGAACUUCCACUAGGGUCAAAACAAAACCAGUAUGGCAUCAACAUUAUGAAAUUCCUCUUUUGACUAAACAGUCUAAUUUUUCUUCUAUUACACCUCUUAAAUAUCCCAUCUCUCAAUAUAUGUCUUAUUCUGUUUUUUCACCUUCUCAUCUCCAUUUUGUUAACAAUCUUUCUCUCAUACAAGAACCAUCCAGGCUGCAAAAGAUUCUAAAUGGGUUGAAGCUAUGAAUAAGGAACUCACUGCUUUAGAUGCCAAUCACACCUGGACAGUGACAACUCUUCCUCCAGGUCACACUACCAUAGGCUGCAAAUGGGUUUUUAAAGUCAAAUACAAUGCUGAUGGAAGUGUGGAAAGGUAUAAGGCUCGUUUGGUGGCCAAAGGUUAUACUCAAACUGAAGGCAUAGAUUAUACAGAAACCUUUGCCCCAGUUGCUAAGAUGGUUACUGUGCGGGCUUUGUUAGCUAUUGCUUCUGUUCGAAAUUGGUCUGUUCAUCAACUCGAUGUUAACAAUGCUUUCUUACAUGGUGACUUACUUGAAGAGGUGUACAUGGAUCCUCCACCUGGUUAUUCCAAAUUACGACAGUCCAAGCAAGUUUGCAAGCUUAACAAGUCACUUUAUGGUCUUAAACAGGCCUCUCGACAGUGGUUUGCCAAGCUUACUAGUGCCUUACUCUCAGCUGGCUAUACUCAAUCCAAGGCUGAUUAUUCAUUGUUCAUUUCUCACACCUCUAUAGCUUGUACUUUGGUCAUUGUUUAUGUUGAUGAUAUUUUAGUCACAGGUUCUAGUGACAAGGAGAUUUCUCAGUUGAAACUUAUGCUUGAUGAAGCAUUUACCAUUAAAGAUCUGGGUCAGAUUAAGUAUUAUCUUGGUUUGGAAGUUUCAAGGUCCUCACAGGGAAUUUUCGUUCAUCAACGAAAAUAUAUUCUUGAUCUGUUAUCUGCUUUUGAUGUCACAGAUUCCAAACCUUUUACUAUUCCCAUGGAACAACACAUUAAGUUGCAUGAUACUACCAGUGAUGCUAUGUCCAAUGCUUCUACUUAUAGAUGUCUCAUUGGCAAGUUACAAUAUUUGACUAUGUACAGGCCUGACAUUAGUUAUCCUGUUAAUCAUCUUAGUCAGUUUUUGCAAAAUCCUUGUCAUGAUCACAUGAAGGCUGCCAUUCGAGUUCUCAGAUAUCUUAAGGGCUCUGUUGGUAUGGGUUUAUUUUUCUCUUCUUCUAGUGAUCUGAUUUUAAAAGCUUAUUCUGAUAGUGACUGGGCAGGCCAAAAUGGGGGGAAGAAGUCUAUCUCUAGUUAUUGUAUGUUCCUUGGUACUUCUUUGAUAUCUUGGGGUGCUAAGAAGCAAGCUGUUGUGAGUCGAUCCUCUGCCGAAGCUGAAUAUAGAUCAGUAGCUGAUGCUACGUGCGAAUUAGUUUGGUUACACAGUCUUUUGUCUGAUUUAAGUCUUCCUGUUCCUACUCCUAUUCCUCUUCAUGUUGACAACUUGUCUACUAUAUCUUUAGCAUCCAAUUCUGUCUUGCAUGCCCGAACCAAACAUAUUGAGGUGGAUUGUCAUUUUGUACGGGACAAGGUUCAGGACAAAUUUAUCCAACCAUUAUUCAUUUCCAGUUCAAACCAACUUGCUGACAUUUUUACUAAACCAUUGGGACGCACUGCACAUUGGUUCAUCAUUUCCAAAUUGGGACUCCACAAUCCUUGUGGACCUCCCAUUUGUGGGGGGAGUAUUAGAGCAUAUGGUCCUACACAAUCUUCUGAUAUACAAACUUCAGUUGCUGUUGCACAGACUCAAAGAAAUAAACAAGUAGAUGAUUGCAAUCCAAGCUCAACACAAGAAAUGAAGCAUAAGCUACUACAAUGCUUAGCCCAUGUUACACGUGGAGAUAUAACACAGCUGUCAUAGUAUAAUAGUAGGGAUAGUACAGGGAUAGUACAGAUGUCCUUGUGCUAGUACAGAUAGUACAUAUGUUACUUUAGUUUUUUAUCAAUUUUGUUUUUGUAAGGAUUUGGAUAAUCAAAUUCCUUACUGAGCUCAAUUUCAGCUCAAUUUAUGGAGAUCUGUGACUUAGAAGAGAUUGAGAGAGAGAGAGAUAGAUAGAGAGAGUUUAGAGGAAGUAGAGAGAAGUUCAGAAGAAGGAACAAUUCAUUUCAUGAUUUCAACUGAUUACAAGUAGUUUCCUUUUAUACACAAUAGAAUGAUAAAAUGAACACUACAGAAAUGAACACAUCAAUAUCCAACCGACUCAAUUAUUACACAGAUUAUUAUACCCUUAAUGAAUAUCGUAGAGUAUGAGUUCGUAGAGUAUUCAUUGAUCGUAGAGUUGUAAUAGUUGGGUUCCUUACAAUCCAUCCCCCUUAAAAAACCACUUGUCCUCAAGGAGUAAAAUUAGGAAAUUUAGCAUGCAAAUCAGACCACAAUUCCCAAGUUGCCUCUGAAGGUAAGAGUGUUAGCCCAUUGCACCAAAACUUUAACUGCAGCUGCAUUAUUUUUCUUAACCAUUUUCCGAUCUAGCACUGCAAGAGGUUCAAUAACAAACUGGCCAUGAACAUCAACUGGAGGCAGGACUGGGAAAAUUUGAGCAGAAACACCAAGUUUUUUCUUCAAUUGAGACACAUGAAACACUGGAUGUAUUUUAACAGCAGAGGGCAGUAGUAAUUUAUAAGCAACAGAACCUAUCUUGUCCAGCACUGGAAAGGGACCAUAGUAUUUGGAGUCCAACUUGGAAUAUUUAGAUUGUGUCAUAGAAUGUUGUUUAUAAGGUCGAACCUUCAAAUAAACCAAAUCUCCCACAGUAAAGACUCUUUCCUGUCUGUUGGCGUCAGCAUAAUUCUUCAUACGACACUAAGCUUGGGAGAGAUUGUGCUUCAAAAGUUGUAACAACUGGUUUCUAGACUGGCAAAAUAAUCUGACUGUAGGAUCAGAAAUAGUACCAUAUUGAUGAUAAGAAACAUGUGGAGCAGCAUACCCAUACAAGGCUUGAAAAGGAGUCAAUUGUGUACCACUGUGGUAAUGAGUAUUAUACCACCAUUCAGCAAGCGAUAGCCAUUCACUCCAUAAUUUAGGUCUCUGACUGCACAUACAUCUUAGAUAAGCCUCCAAACAUUGAUUAAGUCUUUCAGAUUGGCCAUCACUCUGUGGGUGAUAUGUUGUACCAAGUUGAAGUUUAGUACCCAAGAAUCUGAAUAGGGAUUGCCAGAAAUGCCCUAGGAAAAUUCUAUCCCUAUCUGAGACUAUAGAACUAGGUAGCCCAUGCAGCUUAUGAAUGUGAUUGAAGAACAGGGUAGCAACAUCAGUGGCAAUAAAAGGGUGCUUUAAAACCAAAAAAUGUGCAUAUUUAGUGAGUCUAUCUAUAACUACCAAGAUGGAGUUAUAACCAUUAGAAGCAGGUAAUCCUUCGAUGAAGUCCAUAGCAAUAUCCUUCCGAGGAAAAUCAGGAAUAGGAAGUGGUUGCAACAGCCCUGGCACCACAGUAGUUUCAUGUUUGCUCAGUUGACAGAUGUCACAUUCCUUAACAAAGUUGAUUACAUCCUUCCUCAGAGAUGGCCAGUAGAAAAACUUUGAAAUCCUUUCAAAAGUCCCUCUUCUUCCGGAGUGACCUCCCACAGGAGAAGUAUGAAAUUCAUGUAAAAGCUUAGUUUUCACAGCUGGAACGUGACCAACAACUAAUUUGUCCUUGUAUUUAAGUCUUCCAUUAACAAAAGAAAAAUCCGACAAAGAGGCAGGAUCUAAUGCAAGUUGAGUUAUCGCCUGCUGCAAUUCAAGAUCAGUUUCCCAAGUCUGAGCCAACUCUUGAAUCCAAGUAGGAGUAACUGAGGUAAUAGCCAUACAUUGAGAGACAUUGUUGAUACCUUCACGAGACUCGUGAUGAAGCUGCCUAGACAAACCAUCAGCUGCUAAAUUUUCCUUUCCUGUAACAGAUUUCAUAGUCCAGUCCCAUUAACCUUGUGAUCCAUUUCUGUUGAUUAGUAGUAGUUAUUCUUUGAUCCAACAGAUACUUGAGGCUUUGGUGAUCUGUUUUAAUGACAAACUUGUUUCCCAUUAAGUAAUGCCUCUAUUUCUGCACAGAGUAAAUGAUAGCCAUCAACUCUUUCUCAUAAGUUGACAAGCCCAAAUGUUUUGAAGCAAUAGCCUUGCUUAAGAAAGCAAUAGGCCUGCUAUUUUGCAUUAAUAUAGCUCCAAUUCCAGUAGCACUAGCAUCAAUUUCUAAUACAAAUGGAAUGCUGAAAUUAGGCAAAACCAACACAGGAGAAGAGACCAUAGCUCCUUUGAGCUUAACAAAAGCCUCUUCAGCUUCAACACUCCAAUGGAACUGAUCCUUUUUGAGCAUAUCAAUCAGUGGUUUACUUAUUAAACCAUAUUGUCUAAUGAACUUCCUGUAAUAGCCUGUAAGACCCAGAAAUCCCCUCAAAACCCUUAAGGUUCUUAGGCUUUGGCCAGCCUACCAUACACUCUAUCUUUGCAGGAUCACUAGAGACUCCCUCAGGUGUAAUGAUAUGACCAAGAUACUGAACUUGUUGUGUAGCAAAAAUACAUUUGGAUAAUUUGGCAUACAACUGAUGUUGCCUCAACAGCUGUAAUGUUUUUUCCAAAUGUUGUAAAUGAGUCUCAUAUGUGGGACUGUAAACUAAGAUGUCAUCAAAAAAAAUUAAGAUGAACUCCAUCAGAUAAGGGGCAAAAACAGUGUUCAUUAAGCUCUGAAAGGUAGCUGGAGCAUUGGUUAGCCCAAAAGGCAUAACCUUAAACUCAUAAUGCCCUGAAUGAGUCCUAAAAGCUGUCUUAGGAAUGUCAGAUGGGUGUACUCUUAUUUGAUGAUAACCAGACCUGAGAUCCAACUUUGAAAACCAGCUUGACCCAUUGAGUUCAUCCAACAACUCAUCUAUAACAGGUGUAGGAAAUUUAUCUUUUAUAGUAGCAUCAUUGAGUGCUCUAUAAUCAAUACACAUUCUCCAAGUAAUAUCAUGUUUCUUUACUAAUAAUACUGGAAAGGCAAAAUGACAGUUACUAUUCUGAAUAACCCCACUAUUCAGCAACUCGAUCACUAUUUUCUCAAUUUCAAAUUUUUGGACAUAUGGAUAUCUAUAAGGUCUCAAAUUCAUAGGUUUGCUACCUUCCUGCAAAUUAACAUGAUGGUCAUGAGAUCUUUCAGGUGGCAUACCUCUAGGUUCUUCAAAGACAUCUGAGAAUGAUUUCAAAAACUCUUUGGACAGGUAGAUUCUGAGGGUGGACAAUCUUCACAUUCCAAGAUUUCAUAUAAACAUCCAAAAAAAACCAUGAGAUGUUGUUUGCAACAAAUUCUGGAACUCACUAGAUUCCAUUAGUUGUAUUGUUGGAGUGACGUUAACAUUUUCCCCUUUCAUCAACAUUGUCUCCCCAUUUUGCACAAAUUGGAGCUGCAGUUUAUUGAAGUCAAAAGUUACAGGACUUACUGUCCUCAACCAUUGGACCCCUAGAACAACAUCAACACCUCCCAAGGGUAGAAUCCUCAUCCUUGUAGUAUAAUCUCUACCUUGCACCUGCCAUUGGAACUCUGAACACACUUGUUCACUCUGCACCUUAAAACCAUUUGCAACUGAGACUGUCACUGGCGGAGUAUUUGUUAGCUUAACCUUCAGUUUCUUAGCAGCGUGAGGAUCUAAGAAAUUUCCAGUGUUACCGCUGUCAAUUAAUAUGCUAACUGAUCUACCCCCCACUACCCCUUGGACUCUGAUGGUAUUGUUAGCAUUAUGUCCAAAUAAAGCAUGCAAUGUUAUUUGUACAUCAUCCUUUUGAUCCUCCAGUAAUGGCCUGUUUUGCUCUUCCUACAUCUCUACUUCUGUUACACAUUUUGUUUGUUCCUCAGUUUCCAAGCACAUUUCCUCCUCCUCAGAGGGUACCAUCAUGAACAAAUGAGGCUGUUUGCAUACAUGACCAAAUACAUACGGCUCAUCACAGGAAAAACAAAGCCCCUUCCUCCUAUUCUCAAGUAUUUGAUCUCUAGUUAGAUGCUUAACUGGUAUACCUCUUCUCUGCUCAUUUCCAGACCAAGCAACCUUAGUUUCCCCUACAUUAGGACUAGAAAAUUCCAUUCCAUUAUUACUGACACUUUUCUACAAGCUAUAAUUCAUUACUACAUUCCUGCUGCUGGAAUUAUUAAUGACAGAAGAUUUUAGUACAGUUCUGCUUCUUUUAAUCCAUGCUUCCACUCUAGCUUCUUCAACUCUAGCCAAUCGAAUAGCCUCCUUAAGAGUAGUAACCCCUAACUCCUGGAUACCUAACUGAAUAUCCUCCCUCAGUCCACCAACAAAGCAAUCAAUAAAAAAUUCUUCAUUCAACUUUGAAUUUUUUAUCAGUGCCCAACCUCUUAGUUCCUCAAACUUUGUUCGGUAUUCAUCUACAGUUGUGGUUUGUUGCAAUUUUUAAGUUCAGCUAUAGGAUUCAUCUUAGUCUCAAGACUAAAUCUAGCUAGCAAUUCAUCAAUUAAACCAUUCCAGGUCAGGUCAACACCAUUUUCAACAAAACUAGAGUACCACAAUUCAGCUUCUCCUUCGAGAUGCAUAGUUGCUAGGUAUAUUUUCUGAUUUUCAACAACAUUAUGAUAAGAAAACAAUUUAUUGCACUUCCUAAUCCAGGUUCUUGGGUUAGAUCCAUGGAAUUUAGGAAAUUCAUAUCUAAUAGUCCGGAAUAUACCUUCAUUUAUAUUGUUCUGUGCACUACCUCCCUCAAACGAUCCAAGGAUUGAUCCAGACCUUUGUUGAUUUAGAUUUGGAUUUGGAGGAGUUAGUUGAGUUUGUUGAUUGUGAUUGUCAGGCUUUCCAUUAUCUUGCUUCUGUCCUUGUGCUAUCAACGUUGCUUCUACUCCUUUCAUUAGCUUCUCAAGCUUAUCAUCGAAUCCUUUUUGCAGACUCCACUGAGGAUUGCAAUUGAAUUUGCAAUUCCAGGAGGUUCAUUUCUAGAUUCGUUAAUCUCUGAUUGUUAGUAGAUCCACUGAUCGUAGCAAGCUUUGAUACCACUUGUAAGGAUUUGGAUAAUCAAAUUCCUUACUGAGCUCAAUUUAAGCUCAAUUUAUGGAGAUCUGUGACUUAGAAGAGAUUUAGAGAGAGAUAGAGAGAGUUUAGAGAAAGUAGAGAGAAGUUCAGAAGAAGGAACAAUUCAUUUCAUGAUUUCAAAUGAUUACAAGUAGUUUCCUUUUAUACACAAUAGAAUGAUAAAAUGAACACUACAGAAAUGAACACAACGAUAUCCAACUGACUCAAUUAUUACACAAAGACUAUUAUACCCUUAAUGAAUAUUGAUCGUAGAGUAUGAGUUCGUAGAGUAUUCAUUGAUCGUAGAGUUGUAAUAGUUGGGUUCCUUACAGUUUUCCCUUCAUAUAUAUAUAGUAUGUAUAGAUAGAAUACUAAAUACAGAAGAUAUUCUGGCGAGCUUCCCUUUCUAAGGAAUGUAAUGAACAAUAUUUUUCAAUAUAAUUUUCGGAUUACAGAUCUUAUCACUAAUAACUGACCUUACUACCAACGCCUCCUCCUUGCCCUGCUCUUCUUCAGUUUCACUUUUGCACCUGGCUUCUCCAUGAUCAUCUACUAACCUACACCAUAUAACAACGUAAACAAAAGUGAAACAUAACUGCAUCAGCACAAAAGAUGGCAGGCUCCAAAAGUGAAACAUCCGAAAUUAGAAGACAAUUAGAAGAGAAGGAGAGGGAGCCUGAAACCUAGGGCGGUGGAGGCACGAUGGUGGAGUCACUUCUUCUCCUUCUCCAGUUUGUCUCUCAUGAUGUGAAUGGCCUCUGUUAACUUCUUCAUUUUCUGCACCCCCUCAUUCAUGUCUUUUGAUAUUGAGUCGAGUUGAUUCCGGCGAUCCAGGGCCAAUAGUACACCUAUCAGAGCAAAUGCACCGACGGCAAGUUUUGUCGGGUGAAAUUUCCUUGUCAUAACAGCCACAGAAACAGAGGAAGACGGCGAUGGUGGAGGAUCCAUGAUAUUAUGUCCCUAAUUCAAAUUGAACAAUCAUAUCAUCUCUAACUAAUUAAUACUAUGAUUAUAAUAAAUAGUAUUCGAAACUAUGAAUAAGACACAGUGUAAGAAUGCGUUGAAAAAAUUCUCGUGAAUAUCUUAGAAUGCUUUCGGCCUGUUGUUGUGAAACUACGAAUUCAGAAAAGAAGAAAUAUAUACAAAAUUCUAACACGUACAAUUCAAAUUUCAAUAAGUAGAGUCGCACUUUAAUCUAAUUUCCUAAAGUAUACUCCAUAUGGUAAUCCCUAUGGUGAUUUUCCAAUAAAACACAUACACACCCUAGUGAGAUGGAUAUGCAUUAUUACAUAAUAAAAUAUGUUUACCAACUAAGGAAACUAAAUACAAACAACAAAGAAAAAAGAAACAUAAAAGGUACAUCACCUCUACAAUCUCUACAUACGCGUCUAAAGAGAGUUACCUUUAUUUUAAUCACCAUAUUAUGACUUCUACAUGAUAAGCAAUCGGUUCUAUUAUCUAAUAACCCAUGCAUUAACUUGCCACAUGGAAUAAAUUAGUAACAAUCAAUAUCAUAAUUUAGAAACUUACAAAAUUGAAGCAAGAUCAAGUUGUAAUGCAUUGUAUUCAUUCCUAAAUUAAUAGCCACCUUUACUUUAGCAUCAAUAAGGCUGCUUGAAGCUUAUGUCAAAGGUUUUCUCUUAUUUUUAAGUUUCUUGCAUCUGUCUAGCUAAAGGAAUAUGGUAUUAGGCAACUUUUACACCUAAUUCAUCCAAACUUUGAAAUGAGCUCAGACUUUAUAGAUUUUCAUCCAUAAAAAUUCAUCCAUAUUUUAUUAUGUCCCAGCCAUAAAAAUUUAGCAGAUGGUUAUUAACGGUACAAUUAAGUCGAAUUGAUGAUCUGAAUUUGCUAUAGUUCAAAAAUAUAUAAAGGUUUGACAACCCAAUACCAAGCCUUGGAAUUGGAAUUGAGACUAUCUAUGAAUUUGCAAUUCCAUUUCCAAAGCUUAAAAUUGAGUUGCCAAACAUAGUGUAAAUGAAAUUCUAAAUACAUAAACAUAUUAUUGGCUCACUAUCAAAUAAUAUCUAUUUUCUUUCCUAUGAAAAGCAUUGAGAAAUCUUUACUGAAUAGUAGGCUUUUUGGGCUGUGUCAAGGUUUCAGUGGGACGUGCAAGUUUGAAAAAAGUUUAAAAAAGGCCAAAUAUCUCGACUGAGUUCAACAGAGGGGAUUUGAGCCAUCAGAACAAACCCAAUGAAAAAAACCCAAAUCGAAGUCAGACCAAAACAAGGAAACAAAACCUAGAAAUACAAUUGUAAUGGAGGAAAAUAGUUGAACCCUUACCGAAUCGAAGUCGAAAUCAAGCAGAUGUCAAGAUUGCUGUUUUGGUCUGAGUUCGAAGUCGAGAUAGCUGUUUUGGUCUGAGUUCGAAGUCGAGAUAGCUGUUUUUGGUCCAAGUCGGAAUCGAUUUGGAGGGAUGCCAAAUGUCGAUUUGUUGAGCCUAGAUGCCGAAGAGGGAUGCCAACCGACCGAUCGUGUGAGAGCGCCCAGAGAAAGGGUGAUAGAGGAGAGAGAGGGCAGACUUGCCAGAGAACGGGUGAGGAGAGAAUGUGAGGAGCAAACGAGGAGAGGAUAGGAGAGAAUGUGAGGAGCAGAGGAGAGAACGGGUGAGCAAAAUAUUUGGGGGAAAUCUGGGAGGGAUUUGUGCACGAAAACCUAAUUGCUCCCGAUCCGAUCCUGGCUAUUAAGCCCCUAACAUGCUCUGUACC
rnacentral:lncRNA from 1 species